rnacentral:rRNA from 1 species
UAACUUGAGCGGGAUACUGCUCG